GAUCGCUGCUGGGUGAUGGCUGGACCCGGCGGUGAGUGCCAUCAACACCGCCGGCUAGUGUCUGACCCGGCGGUGAAGCCGUGAACCACAAUUAUCCAUCAAAAUCGGCCUGCUCGCGCCUCACCCUCCCAAAAUUUCCCAGAGCCCGCGCACCUGCGCCCCAGAUCCCUGCCGCCGACGCCCCCGACCCCGACGCCGCCUCACCGCGCAUCUGCGGCCGCGCCGCCCGCGAGGAGGUCCAGCGUGGUCCGCCCCGAGCCCCUCGUACUGUCGGACCGCCCGCGAGGAGGUCCGGCGCCGCCGGCCCCGAGCCCCUCCUGCUGCCGCGCCGUCCAGCGAGGAGGUCCGGCACCGUCCACCCCGAGACCUUCCUGCUGCCGCGCCAUCCCGCGAGGAGGUAUGGCGCCGCCCGCCCAGAGCCCCUCCUGCUGCCGCGCCGUCCUGUGCAGAGGCGCGCUGCCGGCCGCAGUUCCUCCUGCUGCCGCGCCGCCGUCCGCGAGGAAGUCCAGCGCCGCUCGCCAUCCCUGCGCACGCCGCGUGCCAUCGCGAGGAGCAAGCUUGUUUGUUACAAGCUGCAAUGUUUAGGGUUUCUCAUCAUAUCGAAGCGGUGAAUAAAAUGGAAUUAGCUGCUGCUGCUGCUCUCUAGCAAUGAAUAAAGUGGAAUUAGCUGCUGCUACUGCUCUCAUGCAAUGAAUAAAAUGGAAUUAGCUGUUGCUGCUUUUGCUACUCUCUUGCAAUUUUGCUUUGUAACUACUCAACUGUUGAAAGAUAAAUUUACAAAGAGAAAGCUUUUUGUUAAACUUUAUUUUAGUAGCUUUUUGUUAAACUUUAUUUUAGUAGUUCAUGUCAUUUCUCUUUGUUGAUUUAAGGUUAUGAAUUCACAGGUAUAAUAGGGCGAUUUUCAUGAUUCAAGUCAAGUCUCGUUGUGGGAAACAAGUUAGAAUAAUGCGGAGAAUGAUGAUGGAGGGGCCCGUGGUAAUUGUGAAGGUAGAGAAGGGGAUGUAAACAAUCUUGAUGUAUGAACUCUUUUUGAUGUAUGAACUCUUUUGUUUAAUCUCAAUGUCCUUUUGUUUAAUCUCAAUGUCCGAGUUGUUUGGUUGAAUUAUGCUAAUAUAAUUAUAUAUGCUUUAAAAA